AAACACAGGUUUGGAACUUUGGAACUUUCUAUCACAGCUGAGAAGUGGCCUCCUCAUUUGUGAGCUCACUGAACCCCGUGAUGGCCCUGCGCAGUGUGUAGCCCAGCCCUUCUUCCGUAUGUUUGGCUACCCACAGGCUCACGGGCCAAGUCAUGUCACAGCCUCUCCCUGCUGACGGGUGGCCAGGCAGCAAGGGCUCAGAUUAAGAAUAGGUCAGAAGCAGAAAGCCAGGAAGAGGAAAUAAACCCCUCAGGGAGAGGACCACAGCUUGCAGAGCAACCCCGAGUCAGGUGCUGCUCUGUGACCCUCUCCUGGGUCCCCGUGGAAUCUCCUCAGCAACCUCGCAAGAUGAGAAAACUGAGACUGGAGCUGAAGAAACUUGGACGAGGCUUCAAGACUGACCGAGGACAGCACGGGUCCUGAAGGGGUCCUGGCCCUCCACAGCCCUCCCUUGUCCACUUGAGGGACCCAGCUCCCUCCUCAGCACCACCAGCCCUGUCUGGAAGCGCUGAGUCCCAGAAACAUGCUGUCCUGAAAAAACACACGCUGGGCCCAGUCCUGGGCCUUGAACCCUGAUUCCCGGCUUCUCACCCCUUGCCUGCACCCGCAUUGUGACCCUUCAGAGAUUCCUCGUGAUCUUCCAAAUGUGCCUAUGACAUUUGUACUUCAGCUUAGCACUCACUCUCUGGAGCAUUCCUGUCCUCCAAUUAAAUAAAAAAAAAAAAAACAUACAAGCACCUGGCAUGGUACCCGAGGCCUG